rnacentral:rRNA from 1 species
UGCCUAACACAUGCAAGUCGAACGCGGUUACCCCGCAAGGGGUAACUGAGUGGCGAACGGGUGAGUAACACGUGGGUGACCUACCUUCGAGUGGGGGAUAACGUCCCGAAAGGGACGCUAAUACCGCAUAACAUCCUGUCCUUGAACGGACGGAGAUCAAAGCCGGGGAUCGCAAGACCUGGCGUUUGAAGAGGGGCCCGCGUCUGAUUAGCUAGUUGGUGGGGUAACGGCUCACCAAGGCGACGAUCAGUAUCCGGCCUGAGAGGGCGGACGGACACACUGGGACUGAGACACGGCCCAGACUUCUACGGGAGGCAGCAGUGGGGAAUUGUUCGCAAUGGGCGCAAGCCUGACGACGCAACGCCGCGUGGAGGAUGAAGGUCUUCGGAUUGUAAACUCC